rnacentral:rRNA from 1 species
CCUUGCACUUCGGGAUAAGCUUGGGACAACUGGGUCUAAUACCGGCAUAGGACAGCUGUUUAGUGUCAGUUGUGGCAACAGUUUUUUCGGUGCCAAGCAUGCAGCUCGCGGCCUCAUCAGCUUGUUGGUGGGGUCAAUGGCCUACCAAGGCGUCGACGGGUACCGGCCUGCAGCAGGGUGUACGGCCCACAUUGGGACUGCAGCAUACGGCCCAGACUCCUACGGGAGGCAGCCAGUGGGGAAUAUUGCACAAUGGGCGGAAGCCUGAUGCAGCGACGCCGCUGGGGGAUGAAGGCCUUCGGGUUGUAAUACUCCUUUCGACAGGGACGAAGCGUAAGUGACGGUACCUGUAUAAGAAGCACCGGCUAAAUACGUGCCAGCAGCCGCGGUAAUACGUAUGGACCGAGCGUUGUCCGGAAUCAUUGGGCGUAAAGGGUACGUAGGCGGCCUAGUAAGUUAGAAGUGAAAUAAUAUAGCUCAACUAUAUAAAGCUUUUAAAACUGUUAGGCUUGAGAGAUGAAAGGGAAAGUGGAAUUCCUAGUGUAGCGGUGAAAUGCGCAGAUAUUAGGAAGAAUACCGGUGGCGAAGGCGACUUUCUGGUCAUCAUCUGACGCUGAGGUACGAAAGCGUGGGUAGCAAACAGGAUUAGAUACCCUGGUAGUCCACGCUGUAAACGAUGAGUGUUAGGUUCUUGGAAUAAUCUGGGAGCCGCAGCUAACGCAUUAAACACUCCGCCUGGGGAGUACGCACGCCAGUGU